rnacentral:lncRNA from 1 species
CCCCCCCACCCCCGAAAUAAAUUAUUCCAGGAAUGUGGUCAAGUCAGCAUGAGAAAAGGACACAGGCUGUCGAAGAGUCGGGAGCGGUGAGGGCGGCAACAACAGAUCCACAGGUGUGCUGCUCUCCCAGACAAGGCCGCAUCCUUGUAAAUGGAAAACUGGUUUUGUAGGUACCGUAUGCCUUUCUCUACUUCAGAAGGACUUCUCUUACCUUAAGACUCCUUGAGAACAAACAAAUAAAAAUGGUCAGUGAAGAAACCACAAGGGGCAAGGCCCGCAGUCCGGAACGUCUUAGGUAAGCACAAAUUUCAUCUGACAGAAGGUGCACAUCUAAGUGUUGCAUUUGGAUUCACUGCGCAAGUUAGGAAUCGGAAGAGUUCUCAACUGAAACUUGGCUGGUGGUUUUUGGUCUAUUCAGAAGUUAUUUGAUGGCUAAACACAACCUAGCCUGUGUCCAUGAAGUGCCAAAACCUAAACUAAGCUCGUGUGUAUGUGUGUGUGUGUGUGUGUGUGUAUGUUAGUUAUAGACAUAUAUGUGUGUAUACACAUAUAAAUAUAUGUAAUUCCACAUCAUAGGAACCUUCCCACACUUCACUGCAGAAAUAAAGUUUGAUUAUGUCCACUGACAUUCAAAUACACAAAAUCUGCCAGCAUCCCCACUGUUAGGCAAUUUAAGCAGCUAUAGAGAGAUGGAAGGUGGAAAGACAGGCUUCAUCUGACCUUAAGCAGGAUGUUUAUUCACUGUGAGGGGGCAUUUUGCCACCCAUGGUGGAUGUGUGUGGCUUCUCCUUGUGGGAAAGGCACCUACAGAAGUAGGUGGGAGAUAGCACUUUUCGGUGUGAAACUUACUUUCACAGUCCACAAAGGAAGCUGAAAAGUGUAGAUCUUCAGCAGGAAACCAUCGUUCCUAACUCUGACAGGAUAUAAAAAAGGCCUAGCAGGGGUGUUUCAUUUUUUCCUGUUAAAUCUUUGUUAGAAGGAAUGAUUAUGGGUCCAUUGAAGGGAUGUCCUCUACUUAAGUCUCAAAGGGAGAGUACUAUUUUGAUCGGUUGUGAGGGAGCAGGCACUUGUCCUGUGUUCCUAAGGAGUCUUGGGAAAUAAUUAUUUGAGGUAUGCAAGCAAAUGAGUUGGCUACAGAAUAGAGCUGAGAGAUUUUCUGGGAAAGUUAGGGGAGGGGGCAGAGUGAAGUUGGGAUAUACAAAGUGGACCAGUGAGAGAAAGUGAGCAGGCUGGGUGGUGGUGGCGCAUGCCUUUAAUCCCCGUACUUGGGAGGCAGAGGCAGGCAGAUUUCUGAGUUCGAGGCCAGCCUGGUCUACAAAGUGAGUUCCAGGACAACCAGGGCUAUACAGAGAAACCCUGUCUCCAAAACAAGACAAAACAAAACAAACAAUACUAGCUCUUAGUUAAUGAACAAAACCAGGUUAUCUCAUGUAAAAUGCAAUUUUUUUUGGUUAGGUAAAAUUUUUAAAAAUUGGUACUUGUAUUAGUCAGGGUUCUCUAGAGUCACAGAACUUAUGGAUAAUUUCUAAAUAAAGAACUUCUGGUGGCUGCUUCUCGUUGCUCCCAUGGACUCAUACAAAUUGGCAGAGCCUCACUUCUUCUGGAUCAAGCCACUUGUACUGAUUUGUGUUUGGUGUUUUGCUGUUGGACAGGACUGCUGACAACAAAGAUUGGAAUCACCAGAAAGAACUAUUUCUAAACAAGUCCACAACUCCUGUCUCCUCUUAACCUUUUUUCCCCCGCUAAUGCUAAUCAGUGUCUUGCUCAGCCAUCGUUAGAGAAGCUUCCUCCUGCACUAGAUGGAAAUAAAUAUCAAGACCUACAUACAGCUGGACAAUGUGUAGAGUGAGAGAACUUGGAACCUCUGGUCGGAAAUGGGGUACCUCCAUCAAGUCUCUUCCCUCAGAGUUCAGGCAACUCUGUGGAUGAGGUGGCAGAAGGACUGUAAGAGCCAGAGGAGAUGGAAGACGCUAAGAAAACAAGGCCUUCCUAACAGGGCAGGAUCAAUAUAUAUUAACUCAAGACACUGUGAUAGCAUGCCCAGGGCCUGCACAAGUCAGGACCUAAUGGUGCUCCAGUGCUUAGAGUAGAAAUGGACACAAGUCCACAUCCCUAACUCAGAAGCUAUCUCCAAUUGAUAACUGCUUGCCAAUGAAACAUUCCAUUUCUCCAGUGGAGUCUCACUUGGGAUACCAACCACAGGUCCCAUGCCCAGCAGCACGUGGCCGAAACAAAAUGAACCUACUAUGCUUGUUCGUUUGUUCUUGGUCUCAUAAUGUUUAUUUGGACAUUGUUCUUUCUUUUUAUUUUAUUUUUAUCCUACUGGUCUUUUGGUUAUAUGUUAUAAUUUCCUAUUUUGUGGGGUGUUUUGGGGAAAUUCU